CUUGCUGGGGGAUUAGUGGCGAACGGGUGAGUAACACGUGAGUAACCUGCCCUUGACUCUGGGAUAAGCCUGGGAAACUGGGUCUAAUACCGGAUAUGACUCCUCAUCGCAUGGUGGGGGGUGGAAAGCUUUUGUGGUUUUGGAUGGACUCGCGGCCUAUCAGCUUGUUGGUGGGGUAAUGGCCUACCAAGGCGACGACGGGUAGCCGGCCUGAGAGGGUGACCGGCCACACUGGGACUGAGACACGGCCCAGACUCCUACGGGAGGCAGCAGUGGGGAAUAUUGCACAAUGGGCGCAAGCCUGAUGCAGCGACGCCGCGUGAGGGAUGACGGCCUUCGGGUUGUAAACCUCUUUCAGUAGGGAAGAAGCGUAAGUGACGGUACCUGCAGAAGAAGCGCCGGCUAACUACGUGCCAGCAGCCGCGGUAAUACGUAGGGCGCAAGCGUUAUCCGGAAUUAUUGGGCGUAAAGAGCUCGUAGGCGGUUUGUCGCGUCUGCUGUGAAAGACCGGGGCUCAACUCCGGUUCUGCAGUGGGUACGGGCAGACUAGAGUGCAGUAGGGGAGACUGGAAUUCCUGGUGUAGCGGUGAAAUGCGCAGAUAUCAGGAGGAACACCGAUGGCCAAAGGCAGGUCUCUGGGGCUGUAACCUGA
rnacentral:rRNA from 1 species